rnacentral:rRNA from 1 species
UCAGCUCGUGUCGUGAGAUGUUGGGUUAAGUCCCGCAACGAGCGCAACCCUUGUGACUAGUUGCCAGCGGGUAAUGCCGGGAACUCUAGUCAGACUGCCCAGAUCAACUGGGAGGAAGGUGGGGACGACGUCAGGUCAGUAUGGCCCUUACGCCUAGGGCUGCACACGUACUACAAUGCCCAGCACAAUGAGAACCGAGA